CUUUGGUUGGGUAGAACUACC
rnacentral:miRNA from 1 species